rnacentral:lncRNA from 1 species
GUCAUUAACCCUAUUAAGCUAACUAAUGAUGUUUUUAGUAAAUAUAUUCUUUUUUCAGAUGUAGAAGGCUUAAAAGAAGUGAGUAUAAAGAGCUUCACAUGAUACUAAAAGUAGUCCUUUGAAUUAUCAAACCUCCUAGGCCCUCAGGGACAACUGCUUUUGUAUUGCUGGUUUUAGUCACUUCUGCCUCAAACCUUACAAACCAGGUUUGGAGAAAACAAAUGAGAUAACUGCUUAAUGGAGUAGACUUUUCAUUAUUUCUACUAUGUAAUACUUUGUUAGCUAAUUAUUUCAUGUUAGCAUAUAUAUAUUUUGCAUUUAUUUAAAAAAAACACUAACCAAUAAAAAAGAGCUCAAAAGAAUAUGCCAAACACUGUUCCCUAGUAUUGGAAGGACAAAGAUGAGUAAGACAGGUUCCUCUUCUUUAGGAACUUAGGGGCUCACAGAGGAGACAAGGCUAAGCUCAAACCAUAAUGCAGCAAGUACCCAGUGGAUGACAAAGUGCUAAAGAGGUGCAGCAGAAGGGCCAGCUGUGAAGUCACAAACUGCAUUCCUUUUUAACUAGUCAUUUUUGUCCCCCUCCUCACUCCCUAGAUAUUCAUUUGUUUUAUAAAUAUUUUAGUUUCUCAAAUACUUGUGUCAGUUUUAAACCUGGAGGGCAACACAGAUGAGCAAGACCCAGUCCAGGCUUUCACAGAGUUUGUAUCAGAAGAAAUGGGAUACAAAAACAAUUGAAUUGAAAACAAAUGAAUAUGGGCACUAAGAGGUAUAAAUUGUGUCUACAGCACAAAAGAGGAGAAAAGAUUUCCAACUGUUUAAGGAAAAUGUUCCUACGGCAGUGCUGUUUCAACAGGACCUCGAAGGGCCUCACUGGGAAUCAUCAGAUAGGCAUCUUAGGGAAAAUAUACAAAGCUUACAAAGGGAGAGUGGGAGAAAGGCAAAACACAGAAAUGUGUUUGGGGAGUGCCAUGGGCACCUGUAGGGCACAAGAGAGAGAAUGGAACCCAACCUUCUAGGACUUUGAGUGCCAAGCAAAGGAGCUGUGGUGGGGAACCAUCUGCAGUGCUCUAAAACAACCUUGAGUCUCCUCUCAGAUUCACCUGGAGGACUUUGUAGAACUUGGUUCUGGAUACCACCCUCAUAGUUACUGAUUCAGUCAUUCUGGAGUAGGGCUGAGAAUUUUGCAUUCUUCAAAAGUUCCCAGGUAAUCCUGGUCUUUAAGAACCAAUUCUAGACAGCCUAACUGGUGACUGUGUUCGGGAUUGAUUAGAAAGGGAGAGCCUAGAGUUGGAGACACCAGUCAUGACAGUUCUACCCAUCCAGGUGAAAAGUGAGGAACAAGCUGAAAUCUGUGGAAGUAAGAGAGUCAACUCUAAUCAGAAUGGGUGUUUUCAAAUAAAAAUGCAGUUCCAUGUUGUUUUUCAUUGUCCCAGCACUACACAACUGAAGCAGUGACUUCAUGGAGUAUUAAGGUAAUAUGAAACCAAAAUGAGUUUCCAUUAGUAUGAUAGAAAGUACAACUCUGAAUUAGUUCAAAGUCACGUAUUAAUUAGAGGAGUAACUGUCUUUCAAAUGAUUUGAAAGGUAUCUUUUUCUUCUAGUAUUAAACUGGGUUAGAAAAAUAGAAUAAAGGACUAGGGGUAUAGCUCAGUGUUAAAGUGCUUGCUUAGCAUGCACAAGGCCCUGGGUUCAAUCCCCUGUACCACACACACACACACAUGCACGUGUGAAAGAAAAACCAAAUUAAGCCAGGAACAUGAGAAUAUUCCCUUUAAUUUAAAAAAUUACAUGCAGAAAUUAAUACUUGUAGCUCAUAAUCUUGAACUUGAUAAAACUGUAAAAGGUCACAUAAUAAUUAUCCUACUGUCAGGAAUGACUAUCUCAAAACCUGUCAAGAUAUAAAGUUGUAUAUUUUAUUUAUGAAAGUGAGACUCAAGAGAAGAGUGGGCAGGGUUAAAAACUCUAAAAGUUCAAAUAUAAGUCCAAAGGUUUAGAAUUUAAACAAAAACUAGGCAUUCAAUAUUAUCAAUUCUGG